GGUACAGCACUUGACUGUGUCAGGGUUCUCUGUGUGUUGGUGCUCUAACUCUGCUCCACAGGUGGUUCUAGUAAGCCGAGGGGCGUGGCCCACACCUGCGGCUCGUUGGAGCAGUAAUUCACUGGUGUGAUAAGGAAGGCACAGACAGAUGGAAGAUGCCAGAGCCUUACCCAGUCGUGUUUGGCUUUUUGGAUACUUACCCGCCUUUACUUCUCAUUCGACGAACCAGCCUCUCGUGAAUCAGCUAUGCUCAGAUGUUGCUCUGGCAUUCCUCCUCCUACUCCCUUGGCGUUACCAAGUCGGGCUCGAGGUUUCCCCUCCCUGGAUUCUGCUGGUUCCCUCCGUUCUCUGGUUAAUCCAUCUGUCACCUUUUGCCGUGGUUCGCUCCGGUUCCCUCGCCGACUUACCAUCAGCCCGCCCUCCUGUUGCUAGCCACCUGUUUGCCAUCGUGAGCAUUCGACUCCAGAGUUCCCCCGGCAAUACUUUCCCGGUUAGAUCAGCCCAACUAAAUGUUUCUCCAGCAUUGACGUUCAGACCUCGAUAGAUCCAGUCUACUGUGUCGUUCUCUGCAGCCUGAACUUAAAUAAACAUCUUAAACUGC